rnacentral:rRNA from 1 species
GUGGGGAAUUUUGGACAAUGGGGGCAACCCUGAUCCAGCAAUGCCGCGUGCAGGAAGAAGGCCUUCGGGUUGUAAACUGCUUUUGUACGGAACGAAACGGUCCUGGUUAAUACCUGGGGCUAAUGACGGUACCGUAAGAAUAAGCACCGGCUAACUACGUGCCAGCAGCCGCGGUAAUACGUAGGGUGCAAGCGUUAAUCGGAAUUACUGGGCGUAAAGCGUGCGCAGGCGGUUUUGUAAGACAGGCGUGAAAUCCCCGGGCUCAACCUGGGAAUGGCGCUUGUGACUGCAAGGCUGGAGUGCGGCAGAGGGGGAUGGAAUUCCGCGUGUAGCAGUGAAAUGCGUAGAUAUGCGGAGGAACACCGAUGGCGAAGGCAAUCCCCUGGGCCUGCACUGACGCUCAUGCACGAAAGCGUGGGGAGCAAACAGGAUUAGAAACCCGGGUAGUCC